CCCUUUGUACACACCGCCCGUCGCUACUACCGAUUGAAUGGCUCAGUGAGGCGUUCGGACUGGCUCGGGGAGGUUGGCAACGACCACCCCAAGCCGGAAAGUUCGUCAAACUCGGUCAUUUAGAGGAAGUAAAAGUCGUAACAAGGUCUCCGUAGGUGAACCUGCGGAGGGAUCAUUACACAAUAAAAUACAAAGGCCGUUCGCGGCUGGACUAUUUAUUACCCUUGUCUUUUGCGCACUUGUUGUUUCCUGGGCGGGUUCGCUCGCCACCAGGACCACAAUAUAAACCUUUUUUAUGCAGUUGCAAUCAGCGUCAGUAUAACAAAUGUAAAUCAUUUACAACUUUCAACAACGGAUCUCUUGGUUCUGGCAUCGAUGAAGAACGCAGCGAAAUGCGAUACGUAGUGUGAAUUGCAGAAUUCAGUGAAUCAUCGAAUCUUUGAACGCACAUUGCGCCCUUUGGUAUUCCAAAGGGCAUGCCUGUUCGAGCGUCAUUUGUACCCUCAAGCUUUGCUUGGUGUUGGGCGUUUUUGUCUUUGGCCCGCCAAAGACUCGCCUUAAAAUGAUUGGCAGCCGGCCUACUGGUUUCGCAGCGCAGCACAUUUUUGCGCUUGCAAUCAGCAAAAGAGGACGGCAAUCCAUCAAGACUCCUUCUCACGUUUGACCUCGGAUCAGGUAGGGAUACCCGCUGAACUU
rnacentral:sRNA from 1 species